rnacentral:rRNA from 1 species
CAGCAGCCGCGGUAAUACGUAGGUGGCAAGCGUUGUCCGGAAUUAUUGGGCGUAAAGGGCUCGCAGGCGGUUUCUUAAGUCUGAUGUGAAAGCCCCCGGCUCAACCGGGGAGGGUCAUUGGAAACUGGGAAACUUGAGUGCAGAAGAGGAAAGUGGAACUCCAUGUGUAGCGGUGAAAUGCGCAGAGAUAUGGAGGAACACCAGUGGCGAAGGCGACUUUCUGGUCUGUAACUGACGCUGAUGUGCGAAAGCGUGGGGAUCAAACAGGAUUAGAUACCCGUGUAGUCCCUGUCUCUUAUAC